rnacentral:sRNA from 1 species
GGACACAUCCGGAUUUCAGACCUCGGUUUGGCCACAGAGAUCCCAGAAGGACAGAGGGUUCGAGGAAGAGUUGGAACAGUCGGCUACAUGGCACCUGAAGUUGUCAAUAAUGAAAAGUAUACGUUUAGUCCCGAUUGGUGGGGACUUGGCUGUCUGAUCUAUGAAAUGAUUCAGGGACAUUCUCCAUUCAAAAAAUACAAAGAGAAAGUCAAAUGGGAGGAGGUUGAUCAAAGAAUCAAGAAUGAUACCGAGGAGUAUUCUGAGAAGUUUUCAGAGGAUGCCAAAUCUAUCUGCAGGAUGCCUCAUGCCGUUUACUGUAAGGACGUCCUGGAUAUCGAGCAGUUCUCGGUGGUGAAAGGGAUCUACCUGGACACCGCAGAUGAAGACUUCUAUGCUCGGUUUGCUACCGGGUGUGUCUCCAUCCCCUGGCAGAAUGAGGGCUGCCUGACCAUGGUCCCCAGUGAGAAGGAAGUGGAACCCAAGCAAUGCUGAGUACCCCGGUGCAGACCACAGAGCAGACCCUGGCGCCAGGAAGGAGCAUGUGUUAGCGUCUCGUCCCACCUGGAAUUGUAAUAAAUACAUCUAAAUAAAGCAUGCCUUGGGAGUGCACAGAC